rnacentral:tRNA from 1 species
GGCUCCUUAGUUCAACGGAUAGAACGUGGGUUUCCUAAACCUAAAAUACAGGUUCGAUUCCUGUAGGAGCUA